AAGUUUCAGUACUCGGAUUACAAAACAAUAAAAGCACUCGAUUGUCCAAAGUCACAGGCUCCACUUGGAUCUUUUCAGCGGUAACCUCCAAUUGAGGAGACAUGCGCAAAGGCCUGUCCAGACUCACUUACCUGCGCCACCGAAAAGGUAGUCCAGAGAUGAUCCGCCCCCAGGGGCAUUGUGGACCUUGGUCGAGGGCCGAUCCUGCACGUACAACUCAGGUCAUCAAUGAACUGGAUAAAUCCAUGCUGAACAAAAGUCAGAUGAGUAGCCAAAGGACUACAAUUUAGCCUUAGAAGGCAAAACAGAAACCUUUCUUCCAACCUCAUCAAAAUUCCAGAAGAUAUAAGACAACCUUCAGGCUUAGGGAGAAAACCUCAUGCGACGGCUAAUGUUUCAUACCCUACACGAUAUACUUCACAGAACAAGCUACAUGCCAAUGCCGUGACAUUCCGGACUAUUCCGAUACCCAAUUGACAGGGUCCAGCAAGCCAUAAGGUUUCUUGACAACAGUACAGUGGAAAUGCUUUAUGAUCUCAUAAGACUAUUAAAUAAGGCCAUUGACGGCAGGACUGAUCAACAAGAGAAAGGAAGGUGCCAAAAGUACUGGAGAAUCUGACAUUCUUGCACACUGCGUGAAGCUUAAAGUAUCAGCACGACAUGCCCUAUCAAGAUUCUUCUACAUGUACCCCAGUCCGUGGACCUAAGGCUAACAGCAUUUGAUCGGUGGGGAUUGAGAAAAAAAGGCACAAAGGAUCACAUGCCAUGAUGAAUAUAGUCAUUGUGGAUCCAGGUCCAGGCAAGAAUUUGCCCCUAUCUUACAAGGUGUCAGGACAAUCCAGAGCUUUAUCCUGAAGGCCCAGGAUAACACUACUUGGCAACCAGAAAAAAUCCUCAGCAGGCAAGUACAUUGGGGGCUUGUAAGAAAUGGGCACUAAUCUGCCUGGGGGUGGUCAAAGGACCAAAACAUUUAGCAGCUGUAUAGACAAAACUAAUCUGCCUGGAACAAUGUUCCAGAAUAUAUGACAAGAUGAUAUACUUUUGUCUAUACCCCAUAACGAGAAACCAAAGUCCACACAAUGUCAAGGACUUACCUAACUCCACUGGAUGCAUAAAUCGGCAUGAAAUCCAUCUAUAAACAAUCAUCAAUGAUGUCCUACGUUGCCUCUUUAGACACUUCAUGAAUUAAUAAGUUCCUCUAACAACACAUCAUUUUAAAAAAGGGCCAUGCAUGCGAGGAAGGGUCUAGUUAAUUGAAGGGAGAUAAAGCAGCAUCCAUAUGAACGCAUUAGUGUAAUUAAAUUCUUUCGAAAAUGAUCAUUUCAGUUACAUAUAUCUAAGAAUAUAGAGGACAUUGAGGUCAAACUUUGGACUUCUCGAUGUUAUUUAUGAUCCCACCUCCUCUACAAAAUUGUUCAAUUUCAGAAAUGAACAUGCGGAUCUACAACCAGACUUUGCUAUCUAACGACAAUGUUAUCCAGUACCAGCUCAAACCUGUACUGACAAGCAAGAGCUUCCGAACAUGUGGACCUCUCUAAGUUCAAAAGUUACCCCACUGCAAUUAAUUAUGGCAAAAGAAAUUUGAAGAAGGAUUAAACUUUUGAGCUUGCAACAUCUGUGCGAAAAGUGGAAUAAUUGGCCACUUCUUGGAUGACAUGACCUAAGAAACAGAACCAGGAAACCCCAAAACGGAUUUUGAUUGGAUAAAAACAAGUCUAAAACUAUGUCAGUUAAGACUCCUCAUAAAACUUAGAAUUGAUAAAAAAGUAGGCACUUCACGUCAUUGUAUUCCUUAUGGCAAAGAUUUUUCUCUUCUUGUACCUUAAGGAUGCACCCUUAAGUUUUGCAAAAAACUGACUGAAGAAUUUUGACUUGCUUGACCAUGCUAAAGAGAGAACAAGCUUACAUUAAGUAUUAACAUUGUGUGGACGACAGCAAACAAGCAUACAAGUUUUGCAUUUUCACAAAAAAGAGGAGACAUGUUUCACAUGCAAUCAAAUAGAUUCCACAGGCAGUAAAAGAAUCAAAGGUACUGUUCUUUAUUCUUGUUAGCAAAAACGGUUGCACCCUCCGCUGACACUGUCCUAGAGUUCACUAGCAAAAGGCCUCCACUCUACAAAUGAAAUAUCAAGUUAUAGCGACAUCACAAUCAAAUAAGCAAUAUAACUUCCCUCGGAAAGCAAGCAGAAUGUGAGUUAUAUUAAAAUGAAAGUUCAAAUAUCACACUGACAAAAACUUCUGUGAGUUACCUGUAUAACAUGGUUAUAAUCCUCCCAAUUAUCUCUCCAGGUAUAAGACUUUAGUUGGCAAAUACUCACUAAAGUUGCUAAAACAGUUAUCCUCUAAAAUGUUGAAUGACAAAGCUGUCAUGGCUAGAAAUUUACCGUGAGGAAGUUGCCAGUGUUCUGACCAUCAGCUCUCAUGUAGUUGUUUGAGGAAGUACUAUGAAUCCCAGCAGGAAUCUGCUUGGUAACAUCUACUGGAGGAGAAACAACCGCAGGUUUUGAGGGAGGUGGAUUAUCCACCUCAGCCGGAGCAGUCUGAGGACUGCUUGCAGCUGCCUUUGGAGCCUCUCCACUACCGAAAAGGUAGCCCAAAGAACUCUGUCCUCCACCACUGCUAACUCCACGACCCAUUGCGCC
rnacentral:lncRNA from 1 species